UACGUAGGUGGCAAGCGUUGUCCGGAUUUAUUGGGCGUAAAGCGCCCGCAGGCGGCUUGCCAAGUUCGAUGUGAAAUCUCCCGGCUCAACUGGGAGGGUGCAUCGAAAACUGGCAGGCUUGAGUCCGGGAGAGGUGAGUGGAACUGCGAGUGUAGAGGUGAAAUUCGUAGAUAUUCGCAAGAACACCAGUGGCGAAGGCGGCUCACUGGCCCGGUACUGACGCUGAGGUGCGAAAGCGUGGGGAGCAAACAGG
rnacentral:rRNA from 1 species